rnacentral:rRNA from 1 species
UACGUAGGGGGCAAGCGUUGUCCGGAAUUAUUGGGCGUAAAGAGCUCGUAGGUGGUCCGCUGCGUCCGCUGUGAAAUCCCAGGGCUUAACCCUGGGCUUGCAGUGGAUACGGGCAGACUAGAGGUAGGUAGGGGAGAAUGGAAUUCCCGGUGUAGCGGUGAAAUGCGCAGAUAUCGGGAGGAACACCGGUGGCGAAGGCGGUUCUCUGGGCCUUACCUGACACUGAGGAGCGAAAGCGUGGGGAGCGAACAGG